UACGGAGGGUGCAAGCGUUAUCCGGAUUCACUGGGUUUAAAGGGAGCGUAGGUGGCUUUGUAAGUCAGUGGUGAAAUCUUAGAGCUCAACUCUAAAAACUGCCAUUGAUACUGCUUAGCUUGAAUCACGUCGAGGUGGAUGGAAUAUUACAUGUAGCGGUGAAAUGCUUAGAUAUGUAAUAGAACACCGAUUGCGAAGGCAGUUCACUAGGCGUGUAUUGACACUGAGGCUCGAAAGCGUGGGGAUCAAACAGGAUUAGAAAACCCC
rnacentral:rRNA from 1 species